UACCAGCUCUUCGAGUGGUGUGGAUGUUUAUUGGGCCUAAAGCAUCCGUAGCUGGCUGGGCAAGUCCCCUGUUAAAUCCACCGAUUUAAUCGUUGGUGUGCGGGGGAUACUGUUCGGCUAGGGGACGGGAGAGGCCGACGGUAUUUUCGGGGUAGGGGUGAAAUCCUAUAAUCCCGGGAAGACCACCAGUGGCGAAGGCUGUCGGCUAGAACGCGCCCGACGGUGAGGGAUGAAAGCUAGGGGAGCGAACCGGAUUAGAUACCCGGGUAGUCCCAGCUGUAAACGAUGCAGGCUAGGUGUUUGGGCGGCCACGUGCCGCUCUAGUGCCGCAGAGAAGUCGUUAAGCCUGCCGCCUGGGGAGUACGGCCGCAAGGCUGAAACUUAAAGGAAUUGGCGGGGAGCACCACAAGGGGUGAAGCUUGCGGUUU
rnacentral:rRNA from 1 species